GAUGAACGCUCGCGAUAGGCCUAACACAUGCAAGUCGAGGGGCAGCGAGGGUAGCAAUACCUGUCGGCGACCGGCGCACGGGUGAGUAACGCGUAUGUAACCUGCCCGCAACAGGGGGAUAACCCGGCGAAAGUCGGACUAAUACCGCAUAAAAUAGGGGUCACGCCUGGGAAUAUUUGUUAAAGAUUUAUCGGUUGCGGAUGGGCAUGCGUACCAUUAGGUAGUUGGUGAGGGAACGGCUCACCAAGCCUUCGAUGGUUAGGGGAUCUGAGAGGAAGGUCCCCCACACUGGUACUGAGACACGGACCAGACUCCGAGGGGAGGCAGCAGUGAGGAAUAUUAGGCAAUGGGCGAGAACCUGAACCAGCCAAGUCGCGUGAAAGAUGACUGCGCUAUGGGUUGUAAACUUCUUUUACAAGGGAAUAAAAUGAGAUACGGGUAUUGUAUUGAAUGUACCUUGGGAAUAAGCAUCGGCUAACUCCGUG
rnacentral:rRNA from 1 species